rnacentral:rRNA from 1 species
UACAGAGGUGGCACGCGUUGUUCGGAAUUACUGGGCGUAAAGGGCGAGUAGGUGGCCAUCUAAGUCAGACGUGAAAUCCCCCGGCUUAACCUGGGAACUGCGUCUGAUACUGGACGGCUUGAGUAUGGGAGAGGGAUGUAGAAUUCCAGGUGUAGCGGUGAAAUGCGUAGAUAUCUGGAGGAAUACCGGUGGCGAAGGCGGCAUCCUGGACCAUUACUGACACUGAUCCGCGAAAGCUAGGGGAGCAAACGGG